AUUCAAUUGAAUUCUUUUACUUGCAAAUGAUUUAUUCCGCCUAUAACACAUUUCCAGUAGAAAAUUUAGGCAUUAACAAAAGCAUCUUAUUUCAGAGCCAUGGCAGGUCUACACCCCAAUUAAAGUUAGCUCCAUCGACUAACAAUUUCUUGGACACAUUAAUUAUAACAUGAUCAUGCAAUUAAAUGGUACAUAGUAUAUAUUUGGCAUUACUUGUUCAUUAUGUUCCAAAUACAGCAUUCAAAUUUCAUAGUCUAGCAAUGCUUAAUCAUACAGAUUUCAGCGUAAGCCAACCGGCCGGCCAAAUUAAG
rnacentral:misc_RNA from 1 species